rnacentral:tRNA from 1 species
UGCACUAAAGUACCUCGUACAUUAAAGUUUGAUUUUAAAAGAGAUGAUUAAUUUCAUCUAGUGCAU